UGUGAAGGAGGUUUUUGUACGAUGGCUUCAUUAGAAUGUAACACUGUGGUGGGCUUUUGGUGGAGGCACCAGAAUCAUUGUGAACAAGGGUCCCUCCGUGUCUCUGCUCCCUCCGUCUCCUCUGCAGCUGUCUGAGGGAUCGGCCUCGCUGCUCUGCCUGCUGUCUGGCUACUCUCCACAGGGGGCGCUGGUGAGCUGGACAGUGGACGGCUCAGAGGUGAAGAACGGGGUUCUGACCAGUGCAGAAGAAGAGAAGAAGGGCGGUUACACACGCAGCAGUACCCUGACCCUCAGCAAAGCAGUCUGGGAAAAGGCAGAGGAGUUUGUCUGUAAGGUCUCCCAUAAAGGCAUCAAUUAUCCGGUCAACUUCAGAAAGAGUCAGUGUGAAGGCUAGUGGCUCCAAGAUAGAUUUUAACAUAGAGCUGCUUAUGAUCCAUCUACAAUAGAGUUUCAAUUCUACACAAUGCUGCCAUUUCUGUCUUUACUCUGUUCACUGUCCUGUUGAUCUUCCUGUAGUUUUUGCUGAAAUAAAGCUGAAUUUUGGA